GAGCUAAGCACUGCCUGCUGUUUGUCCUCCUUAUCUUAUUUAAUCCUCACAACCCACUGAAGGCAUGCUGUUAUCCCAGUUUUAUAAGAAACUGAGGCUCAGAGGGGUUAAACCAUCUGUCCAAGGUCACAGAGGCAGGGAAGGACUGUGCCCUCCAACACCCUGCCAUGGGGCUGGCAGAGCCUCUGGCAGCCCAUCUGCUCAGGUUUCCAACUCCCAGGCCACACUUGGCUCUUCACAGCUCCAGGAAAGGCUGAAGAGGUCAUCACAUUACCUACCACUUCUCAGGAGAAGGUUCUGAGUGCCAGGCAGGGCUCUGCCAUUGGAUCUCCCUUAACCUCACAAGGACCGGCAAGGCGGGUAUUGCUGACCCCACUUCACAGAUGCGGAAAAGGAGGCUCAGGAAGGUUAAGUGACUUGCCCGGGCUCACAGAGCCAGCCGGUAAGUGGCCACGACCAGGAUCUCAGCCUGGAGUCUGACUCCGUAACCGCGAGGCUCAGGGAAGGGGGGAGCCCGAGUCGCGCUCACUGCGCCAAGGCGGCCAAACUUUCUCUCCCCAGCCCGCGCGCCCCGAGUGGAGGCUCUGGCCCCCAUCCUGCUCCUGGCGGUGGCCACCUCACCGGGGGACCGGCGCGGAUCCCGGAGGUCGCCUCCCACCUCGGACUUCAGACUCCGGCCUCCCACCCACACGUCGCCCAUUGCCUCCCUGCACGGUCGGCUCCGCCCCGCCCGGGGCCCUCACCAUCGCUGCUGCCGCCGCUGGGCCGGCUCCCGCUCCUCUGUCGCCGAGCGGCCCCGGUGCCACACACCCGGGAGGAAGCGGAGGGGCGGGGCCGCGGCCGCGGGGGCGGGGGGCGCGCCUGCCCCGAGCCCGCACCCGGGCCAACGAAAAGCGAAAGCUGCAGGCGUCCGGCCCAGCUUCGCCUGGCUCCCCAGCCCCCGGAACCGGGCGCCUGCGCCUGAGCAGCCGGGGGCUCGUUCUGCGUUCGGCACCCCCACACGUCGGGGGGCCCAGUGAAGUGGGCUCUGGAGACAGGCAUCGCCCGCAACAAGCAACCGUCCCAGUGCCACGGCGAUGGCGCUGUGCUAGAGACGACGCGGACCGCCAGCCAGGCGGGGUCUCUGCCACCUCGGUGAAUGCAUGCCACCGGUGCCCAAAAACCGACUCCGCAAGAAAGUUUUGGAACGAAAGAAAGUUUAUUCACAAUCAACAUUGUGAAUGCACUACCUACCACUGAAUUGUCUACUUUGAAACGGCACCGCUGUGUGUUACAAUUGUACGUACACGUAUACACUGUAUGUUGUGUGAAUGGCGCCUGGCUUAAAAAAGAAAACGGACCCCCAUGAAGAA